GGUGGGUUGGCUCAGUGGUUAGAGCGUAGGUCUCGUAACCGAAAGGUCGCGGGAUCGAAUCCCGCUAGAGGCUG
rnacentral:tRNA from 1 species